CCUACGGGUGGCAGCAGUGGGGGAUAUUGCACAAUGGGGGAAACCCUGAUGCAGCGACGCCGCGUGGGGGAAGACGGUCCUCUGGAUUGUAAACCACUGUCCUCAGGGACGAAGAUGACGGGACCUGGGGAGGAAGCUCCGGCUAACUACGUGCCAGCAGCCGCGGUAAUACGAAGGGAGCAAGCGUUGUCCGGAAUUACUGGGUGUAAAGGGAGCGUAGGCGGGAUGGCAAGUUGGGUGUUAAAUCUACCGGCUCAACUGGUAGUCGCACUCAAAACUGCUAUUCUUGAGUGCAGUAGCGGCAGGCGGAAUUCCUCGUGUAGCGGUGAACUGCGUCGAUAUUAGGCGGAACUCCAGUGGCGAAGGCGGCCUGCUCGGCUUUUACUGCCGCUGAGGCUCGAAAGUGUGGGGCGCAAACAGGCUUAGAUACCCCUGUAGUC
rnacentral:rRNA from 1 species